rnacentral:rRNA from 1 species
AGUGAACGCUGGCGGUAGGCCUAACACAUGCAAGUCGAACGGCAGCACAGGAGAGCUUGCUCUCUGGGUGGCGAGUGGCGGACGGGUGAGGAAUACAUCGGAAUCUACUUUUUCGUGGGGGAUAACGUAGGGAAACUUACGCUAAUACCGCAUACGACCUACGGGUGAAAGCAGGGGACCUUCGGGCCUUGCGCGAUUGAAUGAGCCGAUGUGGGAUUAGCUAGUUGGCGGGGUAAAGGCCCACCAAGGCGACGAUCCGUAGCUGGUCUGAGAGGAUGAUCAGACACACUGGAACUGAGACACGGUCCAGACUCCUACGGGAGGCAGCAGUGGGGAAUAUUGGACAAUGGGCGCAAGCCUGACCCAGCCAUACCGCGUGGGUGAAGAAGGCCUUCGGGUUGUAAAGCCCUUUUGUUGGGAAGGAAAUCCAGCUGGCUAAUACCCGGUUGGGAUGACGGUACCCAAAGAAUAAGCACCGGCUAACUUCGUGCCAGCCGCCGCCGUAA